rnacentral:lncRNA from 1 species
GUUACAAUCAGUGUAUGGAAUCACAAGAAGAUCCAUAAGAAACAAGGUGCUGGAUUUCUCCGUUGUGUUCAUCUUCUUUCCAGUGCCAUCAACCACCUCAAAGACACUGGUUAUCAGAGGUUGGAUUUAUGCAAACCUGGGCCAAAGGACAGUUAGAAGACGCUUCCAAUAAAAACAGGACAGCAGAACACACAUACCAAAGUCAGUACUGAGCACAACAAGGAAUGUCUAAUCAAUAUUUCCAAAUACAAGUUUUCUUUGGUUAUAAGCGGCCUCACUACUAUUUUAAAGAAUGUUAACAAUAUGAGAAUAUUUGGAGAAGCUGCUGAAAAAAAUUUAUAUCUCUCUCAGUUGAUUAUAUUGGAUACACUGGAAAAAUGUCUUGCUGGGCAACCAAAGGACACAAUGAGAUUAGAUGAAACAAUGCUGGUCAAACAGUUGCUGCCAGAAAUCUGCCAUUUUCUUCACACCUGUCGUGAAGGAAACCAGCAUGCAGCUGAACUUCGGAAUUCUGCCUCUGGGGUUUUAUUUUCUCUCAGCUGCAACAACUUCAAUGCAGUCUUUAGUCGCAUUUCUACCAGGUUACAGGAAUUAACUGUUUGUUCAGAAGACAAUGUUGAUGUUCAUGAUAUAGAAUUGUUACAGUAUAUCAAUGUGGAUUGUGCAAAAUUAAAACGACUCCUGAAGGAAACAGCAUUUAAAUUUAAAGCCCUAAAGAAGGUUGCGCAGUUAGCAGUUAU